rnacentral:lncRNA from 1 species
UACCAUUCUGUAAAUUAUUUAUUUAUUUAUAUAUUUAUUCUUUUGCCGGUAUAUUAUCUAAGAAAAACAUAUAAUUCAAUAACAAGCAUAAUCAUAUUUAAAAUUGUGUAAUCCGCUAGUAGAUCCUCAAGGUAACGACUACUAAUUCACCGCCAACACAAAUAGGAGUAAGUAACCGAGAACUUUGUGUCCGAGAAAUCAAGAGAGUAUUUCUAAAAGCUGCCUCGUUUAUUUCUUCUCAAGGACUUGUAACGGAUCUUCAUACGAAUUGCAUAUAUUAAGCAGUAAAUCGUCGAGUUCUUGAGAAAAUUUUCAUAAUCUGCUCAUUAUCUUAUCAAGGAACAAAUCAUUGAUUUUUUUUAAUCUUUAUCAACAUUUCGUACUUAUUGAUCUUCAAUAUCUUGAGUAUUAUUCCAAUGGCAUAAUACAUCUUACAAGACAUGUACUGUACCACACCUACAAGCCAAUCCCGGUUCUAAUUGACUAAGAAAUAUAGUAAGUAUUGAGCAGCCUUUCCCCAAGACUAAGACCAAGAGCAUCAAGGUGGAUAGUAAUAGACAAUAAUAAAUUGCUUAAUCAUCCAAUAAAGCUUCCAACUUCCAACUUGCAAUUUGCAACUCGGUAUUGAUGUCGCUCAAUCACUUGUUUAUCUCCUUCGCCCGUUUUAGCGCAGGUAUGCUAAACAACAAGAAACAUAAAUUAUUAAUAAUUACUACAAAGCCGAUAAGUAAUACAGCUCAAAAAAAUAAACAUACUUAAUAAAAUGUUAAUAAGAAAUUAAAAUAAAAGUGAAAACCGGAUUUGUGAUACUUAUAGUUGGGAUUCUCCAGAUGUAUUUGAUGAAAUUCUAUCUGCGCGUCACCAUAACGAGCUUCAGGCCCUGCUGGCAUAUGAAAACCCCCUGGUCGUUCAAUUUGAGUCCACGUAUGGCUUGCUGUCUUCUCUUCCGUUUCUAUUAUAUUUUGCAGCCCUAGUUAUUCAUUUACUUGCUUACUCACUCGCUCACCCAGCCCCUGAUGGAAAGAGAUAUGACACAAAUGUGUACGUAGCAUGUAUCCAACUUACAGACACCGCACCACGUGUGCACACGCUUCAUGAAAGACAUUAUUUUAUAAUCCCCAUCCCUCUUCCGUAUCCCCAGGCCCUAUUUUUUGUCUCGGACAUAUAGACAUAUGUACGAAAACAAUUCUACUGAAUUGGUUGCGCGCACGAGAUUUUGAUUUUUAUCAACCUUUUAUUUACAGGCUUUACUUGCGAUAAUAGCUACGCAAAGGGCCCAGGUUCGAAUCCACCGAAGGUUAAAAAAUAACCAAGUCAAGUUUUUGGGAAAUUGAUUUAUCACAAGAUUAUGUUGUGAAUUAUGAUCAAUGGUAUUAAUAUCAAUGGGAAGAAUAUGUAUUUAAGAUUACAUACUAAUAUUAACUGUAAAAGUAUUUAUAGAUUGCUUGAAAUGGAAUGAAGAGAAUACUCGACUUAAAAGCAAAAUGAUCGAUAGACGCAAGCGUUUAUUAGUCUAGAGUGUUGAGUACACUUGUUUGGCAUCACAAACUGAGACCCUAAAACGUCAAAUUGAAGGGUGUAAAGUAACGGCGUACCAAGUCACGUAAUAAGUUUGCGUGUUAAAACAACUUUUAAUAAUUAAGAGAGUGUAAGUUUAUAUAUUAAUGUGACUUAGUAAUCACGAUCUAAGUAAACAAUUAUCCAACACGAUACUCAUUUACAUUAUUUCUUUUUUAAAUAUUUAACAAGUGUAGAAAUGAAAUUAGGCCAAGUUAACAUCCAACAACAUUAAUGAUUAAUAAUAGUACAAUUUUUAAUCAUUAAAUUCUUACUAUUAUUUUAAUUUUAGAAAAAAGAGACGUAUAACUUUUUUUUAAAUUUUGUUCAUAAAUUACAGAUUGUAAAAGCAAUAUUAAUUAUAUUUAUGAUUGAUAAGUAACAUUACCGUGCAAUUAAUCGAAGUAACUAAUUAUUAUAAGAUUAUUUUACAGGCACUGUAUCGCUUCCAGUAAUUAUUACGUAAUUAAAUGUUACCUUAUAGUAGAAUUAUCUCGACGUUAUAAAAAUUGUAUCCCCUUGGGAAUUAAUAUUAAAAAUUUUAAUAAAUUGUUACUACUUAUUACUAA